AGCGAACGCUGGCGGCAGGCUUAACACAUGCAAGUCGAGCGGGCACUUUCGGGUGUCAGCGGCGGACGGGUGAGUAACGCGUGGGAACGUGCCCUCUGGUUCGGAAUAACUCAGGGAAACUUGAGCUAAUACCGGAUACGCCCUUUUGGGGAAAGGCUUGCUGCCGGAGGAUCGGCUCGCGUCUGAUUAGCUUGCUGGUGAGGUAACGGCUCACCAAGGCGACGAUCCGUAGCUGGUCUGAGAGGAUGAUCAGCCACACUGGGACUGAGACACGGCCCAGACUCCUACGGGAGGCAGCAGUGGGGAAUAUUGGACAAUGGGCGCAAGCCUGAUCCAGCCAUGCCGCGUGAGUGAUGAAGGCCUUAGGGUUGUAAAGCUCUUUUAUCCGGGACGAUAAUGACGGUACCGGAGGAAUAAGCCCCGGCUAACUUCGUG
rnacentral:rRNA from 1 species